rnacentral:tRNA from 1 species
UCCGGGAUCUGCUAAUGGUAGGCAACUAGACUCUGAAUCUAGGAAUCUUGGUUCGAAUCCAAGUCCCGGAA